rnacentral:lncRNA from 1 species
CUAUUAUAUAUUAUAAGUUGCUUAAAAUUUCUUCUUUAUGAUUCUAGUAACUUUAAAAGUUUAAAUGUUUUUCGAGAUUAUAUUGUUUGAAGUUUUAAUUUUAUAUUUUGAAAAGGUUUAAAUUUUGAAAUACUCAAGUUUUAAAAAUCCCAUAUUGGAUAUUCAAAUGAGUAGAUUAGUAUUUUAAUGAAGUCCAAGAGU